UUUCCUUGAUCGGUUGUGUUUUUUUCGCGCGUGUGCAUUAAAUUGAAUUUAAGGAAAAUGUUAUUAAUUAUUGUUAUAUUUUAUAUUGUUAUUGUGUAAAUCGUGCCAAGUACGUGUGCCACCUGAUAUCCGCCCUUAAGGAUUUGUUUAACAAUCUUUUAACUACCUAAGCGCUUAGUUUUUGGCGCAAAGCUUUUAUUUUUUGGCGCACAUAUGAAGAAAGAAAAGAAGAGGGAGAAAAAUAGUGAGAAAUAGAAAACAGUUAGAUUUGUUGCCUCCCCUUUGAAUUUAAUUGUUAUAAUUAUGUGAUGAAAUGUGUAACUUGAAAUAGUAGAUUUGAUCUGGACGACGCGUUUCGACCUAACCACCAUAGGAAUAAUCGCGUUGGAAAUAAAUAAGACUGUCAUUACCUACUCCUUGUUAUGGAUCCCAAUAAAAUAAUCAAGCGGAUUUUUGGUCACAUGUUCUGCAAAAUUGUCUAUUGAAAUGGAAAUAUUUUCACGUCGGUCAAUUGAAAUGAAUAUUUGUUGUCAAGUGAUGAUGGAACGGAAAUAGAAGUGAAUGUGCAUGUGAAGUAAGUAAACCCCAUAGAUUCACUUCAAGGCUUCAGCUAAGAAGGCGUCGGCGCCUUUAACUAAAGAGGAGACGGUGGCUUGAACAGUGGAGGCGACGGCUUCAACUAUGGAGGAGAUGGCAGCUUGAGCGAAGGAGGUGGCAUCGGUCUUAACAUUGAAGGUAACUGCGGCUUGCGCAAAGAAGCAGGCGGCCUAAUGGACACGGAGUCUUUAAAUUAGUGGCAGAUUGGACAUUGGAGGAAUUGGUGGCUUCAACUAAAGAGGAGACGGCAAAUUGUCAGUCUUAAACGAUGAAGAGGAGGUGUAUUCAACUAUUGAGGAAGCAGUGGCCAUGGCCUUAGUGAAGGCAGUGGCAUGAAUUUCAAAUGUGGCAAUUAAAAAAAUUGUUUUUCAGGAAUGUGUUUAUAUUAAAGUUCGUUUCCUGCCUACUGAUAGAUUCAGAUUAGAUAAUCGUGCGCGUGAAUUAACAGAUUGUCAAGCUACGAAAUGUGCUGCAACUUAACAUAUGUAUUGUAUAAUAUCACAAAAGAUUAAAGAAUUAAGUUUCCAAAAAUACACGAAAAAGGAACAAUUAUAAAUUUUACUCGUAUCCGUAUUUAUUGAAGAAAUAUAAAUUGGUCAAGUUCCUUCAAUAAAAAGCCCUUUGAACUCGCAAAAAACAGGACUAUCGAUUAAUAUUCAAGGAUUUCCAAGAUUCGAUGCAGCCCAAUAAAAAAAAGCUUUUAAUCAUAAAAGUUUUUUAUAUUUUU